rnacentral:rRNA from 1 species
CACGUAGGGUGCGAGCGUUGUCCGGAAUUAUUGGGCGUAAAGAGCUCGUAGGCGGUCCGUCACGUCGGAUGUGAAAUUCCAGGGCUCAACCCUGGACCUGCAUUCGAUACGGGCGGACUAGGAGUUCGGUAGGGGAGACUGGAAUUCCUGGUGUAGCGGUGAAAUGCGCAGAUAUCGGGAGGAACACCCGUAGCGAAGGCGGCACUCUGGGCCGGUACUGACGCUGAGGAGCGGAAAGCGAGG